UACGGGGGGGGCAAGCGUUGUUCGGAAUUACUGGGCGUAAAGGGCUCGUAGGCGGCCAACUAAGUCGGAUGUGAAAUCCCCAGGCUUAACUUGGGGACUGCAUCCGAUACUGGAUGGCUUGAAUCCGGGAGAGGGAUGCGGAAUUCCAGGUGUAGCGGUGAAAUGCGUAGAUAUCUGGAGGAACACCGGUGGCGAAGGCGGCAUCCUGGACCGGCAUUGACGCUGAUGAGCGAAAGCCAGGGGAGCAAACGGG
rnacentral:rRNA from 1 species